GCGCUGGUAGUGUAACGGUUAUCAUUCGACCCUUCCAAGGUCGAGAUCGGGGUUCGACUCCCCGCCAGCGCA
rfam:Penicillium brasilianum genome assembly, contig: SCAF3